rnacentral:lncRNA from 1 species
AUCUCUGCGUGACUUCCGCCAGCGUUUAGAGCGUUUUCGGGGUCCGAGUUGAAGAGCAAAACCAAGUGAAGGAAACUUCACUAAGUUCAGGGUGACAAGGGAGGAAGUACAGAGACUGCACUUUAAAUUCUGGAUGACAGACCUAUCAGGACUGAGUGGACCUUUGAGUGACAAGAUGGGGGUGUUCCAAAGAGACCAUGGCAGCCUGCAGCUAGGACUUUAAUAAACAGAGCGCUUAAAAAGCACUGUCUGGAUAUCUUCAGAGGGAAAAAGGAGAAAGUUAACUGAAUUGGUGACACUUCGGGUCUCUCACAGAGGAAGGUAAGGUUUCAGUCAACAGCACAUAGAGGAUUAUCCUCAUUUACCCAGGACUGACAGUGUUUGUGAAUUCUAAAGCUGUGCAUGUAGUGAAUAUACAAGAUAAAAUUGAAAUGAGAAUAACGGAAUAGCAUUGUAGAAAUGAUUAAAAUGUACCCAAGCCCCAAGUUUUCAGAUAACAUGAUAGUUUUCUAAUGGUGAAACUGUUUAAGAUGUAUAGUCAUAAAAAAGAUUAAAAAAAAUAAGAAACAGUUGUAUAGCCAACUUUUAAUAAUCUGUGUUAUAGACUCCAUAGCAGAUCUGAAGGUAGCUAUAUGCCAGCAGCAGAAGGUGCACCCUGGAGCACAGUUUUGUAGCAGUUCUCCAAGCUGACCAGCUGAGGACUAGUGACCCUACUUAAGAACAGUUGGCUAAGAGGAUAGUCAAGUGAGGGGAAUGUGCUACAAGAGAAUCAUAGUAGAUAGAGAUGCAAACAAAAGGGAGAGUCUUUCUUCUUGUUCCUUUCUGAUCUGUAGAACCUGCAGGCCCACUGUAGAGCUCCCAUUGGAGUACAGUGGAGCAUGAAGAGAGAAUCCUUAGGAGAGCUUGUCAAGGAAUUUGGGGGAGGAGUGUGUUUGCAAACAUGGGGGAAAGUACUUAUUAAUCAUUUAGAUGUUCUGCAGGCAGAAAGCUUACUAGUGUAGUGUGUAGGGCUGCAAGCCACCAAAGUAAUGACUACUUGAAAGAGGACCAAUAGUUUCUGAAGCUCUGUGUGAAAAGAUACAGUGGUUGGGGUGGGGUGCGGAAUCUCUAGAGCAGCUCAUACAGCCACAGGGCAAAGAGAGGGAACCCCCACACGGAAAAAAAGAUUGCAGCAGGGAUGGAGAGCUAGUAGCUUUAGGAUGACUAGACACUUCUGAAAGUGAGCACUCUGUCCUUACAGAGACCACCAAACCAACAGAAGCCACCAGGACAGCACACAGCCAUUCCAAAAUUCCAGACCAGGAUCAUUCCAGAAAAGCCUUACAUCUCAGUCCAGUAUAUGGAUGGUUUUGUAAGAUGACCUAUGAUUUUUCUGUUCCUCCUUCCUGCCCCUAACUUCAGAGAAACAGACCUAGAAAGAGGGAAGGAAGGAGUGAAAAAGCGUGCCAUACUUUAUCUUCUCCCCUUCUGUUUUAAACUAGACAAAUCUAUAUUUUAAUUAUUAUAAGUAACCAGAAAGUUAUAUGGUCUGGCCAGGAUGGCAUUAAAGAAAAUGAGAGAGAAAAGUUUAAGAUAGCAUGGUUGGAGACAAUAAGUAGAAGAAACCAAGUAGUUCAAGUUUUAUAACGCUCUAUCUUAUAAACACUCUUGAACCAAUAAUAAUGCUAUUACUGAAAUGCUACACACAAUUGAAGACUACUUGUUAGACCAAGACCUUAAAAACUUCUUUACUGAUUAUUCCCAAUGUGUGGCCCUGGUAAUCAUUGAAGAAUCAUUGUAUUGACUAUUAAACAUCUAGGGAUCACCUGUUUAAAUCAAGUUAACAAAACACUUACUUAACAAAUAUAUAUUGAUUGCCUAUUAUGAAGUAGAUGCUAUAGUAGGUGCUGGCAGUAUAAACAUGAAAAGAGACAUUGUGUGUGCAUAUUAAUAUACAGCAAAUUAAACUUCAGCCAGAGAAGUACUUUACUAGAAGGUUGAUAGAAGUGUGGUGGUAGCUUGCAGGAGGAAGCAGUUAGCCUCCUUGGAAAUGAGUAAUCUUCACAGAAAGUAUGACAUUUGACCUGCUUCUUGGAGAAGAUGCAUAUUAAACCUAUUAAAUCCAUGUCAGCCUUUAACACCUUUGCUCAGAUUAGUUUCUCGAGCUGUUUUCCCACCUGGUGAGCAGAUAAGAGCAGGACAGGAAAGUUCUGAUGAAAGGAAGAAGUGCCAGAGAGAGAAGGCCUUGCAAGCAAAGAAGCCUGACAGGCAGGAGCCCCUGAGUAUCCUAAGGAGAAGUACCAGCGAUUUAGGGAAGAAAAUUGCUGCCAGAAGUGCAGGAAAUAAAAAUUCUGACCUAGAUCAUUUUA